UACGGGGGGGGCAAGCGUUGUUCGGAAUUACUGGGCGGAAAGCGCACGUAGGCGGAUUGCUAAGUCAGGGGUGAAAUCCUGGAGCUCAACUCCAGAACUGCCUUUGAUACUGGCGACCUUGAGUCCGGGAGAGGUGAGUGGAACUGCGAGUGUAGAGGUGAAAUUCGUAGAUAUUCGCAAGAACACCAGUGGCGAAGGCGGCUCACUGGCCCGGUACUGACGCUGAGGUGCGAAAGCGUGGGGAGCAAACAGG
rnacentral:rRNA from 1 species